CGGUUGAUCCUGCCGGAGGUCACCGCUAUUGGAAUUCGAUUAAGGCAUGCGAGUCGAGAGUCUUAGGGACUCGGCAGACGGCUCAGUAACACGUAGAUAACCUGCCCUUAGGUGGGGGAUAAUCUCGAGAAAUUGAGAAUAAUACCCCAUAGGUCUAGGAUGCUGGAAUGCUUCUAGAUCCAAAGCUCCGGCGCCUAAGGAUGGGUCUGCGGCCUAUCAGGUUGUAGUGAGUGUAACGGACUCACUAGCCGACGACGGGUACGGGCCCUGAGAGGGGGAGCCCGGAGAUGGACUCUGAGACACGAGUCCAGGCCCCAAGGGGCGCAGCAGCUACGAAAACUUCACAAUGCGGGAAACCGCGAUGAGGGAAUUCCAAGUGCUACAGUAUAACUGUAGCUGUUUAUUUGCCUAAAAAGCAAGUAGAGUAAGGGCUGGGUAAGACUGGUGCCAGCCGCCGCGGUAAUACCAGCAGCCCGAGUGGUGACCACUUUUAUUGGGCCUAAAGCGUCCGUAGCCGGUCUGGUAAACCCUUGGGUAAAUCGAACAGCUCAACUGUUCGACUUCCGAGGAGACUGCCAGACUUGGGACCGGGAGAGGUCGGAAGUACUUUUGGGGUAGGGGUGAAGUCCUGUAAUCCCAAAAGGACUACCGGUGGCGAAGGCGUCCGACUAGGACGGGUCCCGCGGUAAGGGACGAAGCCCUGGGUCGCGAACCGGAUUAGAUACCCGGGUAGUCCAGGGUGUAAACGCUGCGGGCUUGGUGUUGGGGGUCCUACGAGGGCGCCCAGUGCCGGGGAGAAGUUGUUAAGCCCGCCGCCUGGGGAGUACGGUCGCAAGACUGAAACUUUGAGGAAUUGGCGGGGGAGCAC
rnacentral:rRNA from 1 species